UAAUAGAUACCCGGGUAGUCCACGCCCUAAACGAUGCGAACUGGAUGUUGGGUACAUUACGGUACUCAGUGUCGAAGCUAACGCGUUAAGUUCGCCGCCUGGGGAGUACGGUCGCAAGACUGAAACUCAAAGGAAUUGACGGGGGCCCGCACAAGCGGUGGAGUAUGUGGUUUAAUUCGAUGCAACGCGAAGAACCUUACCUGGCCUUGACAUCUGUCGAAUCCUGCAAAGAUGCGGGAGUGCCGCAAGGAACGACAAGACAGGUGCUGCAUGGCUGUCGUCAGCUCGUGUCGUGAGAUGUUGGGUUAAGUCCCGCAACGAGCGCAACCCUUGCCCCUAGUUGCCAGCACGUAAUGGUGGGAACUCUAGGGAGACUGCCGGUGACAAACCGGAGGAAGGUGGGGAUGACGUCAAGUCCUCAUGGCCCUUACGGCCAGGGCUACACACGUACUACAAUGGUCGGUACAGAGGGUUGCGAAGCCGCGAGGUGGAGCCAAUCCCAGAAAACCCGAUCCCAGUCCGGAUCGGAGU
rnacentral:rRNA from 1 species